rnacentral:rRNA from 1 species
GUCCGCGUCCCAUUAGCUAGUUGGUGGGGUAAAGGCCUACCAAGGCGACGAUGGGUAGCCGGCCUGAGAGGGUGUCCGGCCACACUGGGAUUGAGAUACGGCCCAGACUCCUUCGGGAGGCAGCAGUCGAGAAUCUUCCACAAUGUACGAAAGUAUGAUGGAGCGACGCCGCGUGUGUGAUGAAGGCUCAACGAGUUGUAAAGCACUGUCAGGGGGGAAGAAUCAGCGCAUAACUAAUAAAUAUGCGCUCUGACGUACCCCCAGAGGAAGCUCCGGCUAACUCCGUGCCAGCAGCCGCGGUAAUACGGAGGGAGCAAGCGUUGUCCGGAAUUAUUGGGCGUAAAGGGCACGCAGGCGGUUCGGUAAGUCGAAUGUGAAAUCUUACAGCUUAACUGUAAAACUGCGUUCGAAACUACCGAACUUGAGUACUGGAGAGGUAUGCGGAAUUCCUGGUGGAGCGGUGGAAUGCGUGGAUAUCAGGAAGAACACCGGUGGCGAAGGCGGCAUACUGGCCAAGUACUGACGCUCAGGUGCGAAAGCGUGGGGAGCAAACGGGAUUAGAUACCCCGGUAGUCCACGCUGUAAACGAUGGGUACUAGGUUUUGGAGGUCUCGACCCCUUCAGAGCCGCAGCUAACGCAUUAAGUACCCCGUCUGGGGAAUACGGUCGCAAGGCUGAAACUCAAAGGAAUUGACGGGGGCCCGCACAAGCGGUGGAGCAUGUGUUUUAAUUCGAAGCAACGCGAAGAACCUUACCAGGGUAUGACAUGUGAGCUUCGACCUUCGGGAAGAGGUUAAUCCUGUGAAAGCAGGACGAAUCACACAGGUGUUGCAUGGCUGUCGUCAGCUCGUGUCGUGAGAUGUUGGGUUAAGUCCCGCAACGAGCGCAACCCUUGCUGUUAGUUACCAUCGGGUAAUGCCGGGGACUCUAGCAGGACUGCCGGUGAUAAACCGGAGGAAGGUGGGGAUGAUGUCAAGUCAUUAUGACCCUUUACACCCUGGGCUAACCACGUGCUACAAUGGUCGGUACAAAGGGGAGCGAUACCGCGAGGUGGAGCAAAUCCCAAAAAGCCGGCCUCAGUACGGAUUGCAGUC